GUGAUUUAUCUUAGUUGGGGAAUUUAUUAAGCUUGCUUGCAGUUUUAAGGAAGAUAGAAGUGAAACUAUGUGUAAAAUUAUUGAAGAAUUAGCAGUUGCAGGCGUCUUGUUUACUGGCGUUGCUGCUUUCAU